GCCUGGAGACCUGGCCUCCAUCCCGGUUACCAGAAGGGAGGCCUUAGAGGUCUCUGUCAUACUCCCAAAACUGGACCAUGGGGGCAUUCAAAGAGACUUCUCUGAGUUGGUGUAAAGGUAGUUUUGUUACAGCAGCAAGCACCGCCGAGGCUGAGGCUAAUGCUGGGGAUGUCCGGACAAUCCAGGAGACCAAGGGCUGGUAGUAGAUCAAUAUUUUGAUCCAAUAGGCUCAGCUGAAGCUGGCUUGAGGAGUGGCAUUUAUAAUGUCUGCUGGGGCAUAUGCCCACUCAGCUUUCCCCUUAUAUAACAGCUGAACUUCAGGGAUGGCCAACCAUACAAGGACAAACAGGAUGACCUCCUUAAGCAGCCUAUUGGACCAGCCACCAGAGAGCCUCUGUGGAAGUAAUUGCUUCCACCUCACUUCAAAAGAAAGACCUGACAAGCUAAAGAUAAGAGGACGUCAUGGCUGGGACCCAUCAUGGAGAAUUAAGUCAUCCCAGGGCUUUGGAAAAGCACUCCAUCGUUGGCCUCAGAAGCCUAAUAGCCUGGGGAUGUCUUAACAUCCAAGGAAGAAUUCACCUGAGUUCCAUUCUAAUUUUCCUGGCUCCCAGGGGCUACGAUUCAGAGGCCGCAUGCCACAGAAGAAUCCCAAACCCAAGUGAAAUAACCCUGAAAUGCCAUGGUCUUGGCAUAGACCUGAAGCCAGGGUAAACACAUGGCCAGAAGAAAUUAUCUGAAGCAACAAUGGCAUAUUAUGAACCUCUAUCAACUCCAUUAAUGGGGAAUAGAGGUCAUUGGCAGCUGCCCCAAGAACAGCCACAGGAACCUUAGGAAUAAAGCUACUGCUGAAUUCGUAUGAACUGUAAAAGCAUAAAACAUGAGGAGUAUCAUCAGAUAGAAGGUAUCGAGGUUCUAUGGGGAGAAACCUGGCUUUGAGUCCCAACUCUGUCACAGUGAUGAUCAACUUAUCAAUGAAGUCUGAAAUUCACUUCUAAAUUGACCUAUAGAUUUAUCAAACUUUUAAAAAAUUUCCAACAAAAAAAAAUUCAACAUUCCUCCUUGAAACACUACAUUUUUAAAUAAUCCAAGCAGUGCGGUGCUAGUGUGGAAUGGGGUAAUAUAAUAAAGGAUCGGAGUACAUAGAAGAAUUAAAAUAGAAUAUGGAAAAGGAAACCCUGAGAUGGUGCUACUGGGAAAAACCAUCCCUUUAAAAUUUUUUCAUUUUUUGUGGAAAAAUAAAAAAGAGGAAAUCAAUGGGACAACCUAUGCAAGAGGGGACAGAAAAGGAAAAUUAAUCAUUGCUUUCACAGAUGUUGUCACAUUUGCUACUCUUACCUCUUACUCUUAGCUACACAGCUAGCCAGUGGCAGAAGUAGGCUCCAACCCUAGAUUUGGUUUCAUUCUCAAAUCCACACUUUUCAUUAUUCUACAAAAGUUAUUUCCUUUCUAGAACCUAAUUCUGAUCAACACAGAGGAGUCUGUUGGCGGGGAGGGGGGCGGGUGACUCUUCUAUACCACUUUCAGAGAGAACCUACUGAUAAAAUCUCUAAACCACUUCCAUCUUUGAAUUCUGGAAAAUAUAAACGUGAGAAAAACAGAAUUCUAACACCAAAAAAGGUAGAUUCCUAAACUCUACACUGAGGAAUUUUAUUAUCGACCCUUAUCAAGAGGUCAACUUGUGACCAUCGAAAAACAAAUCAGUGAUCACUACAACCAUUAAAGUUACAUAAAAUGAAUCAUGGUAAACCGAUCUUGUUUCUCUUCUAACAGAUUUAGGAUAGGCUGAUCAGGAAAAAGGCAGUAGAAGACACUUAUCUGGGCUUUAGCAGGGCACUUGACCAAAUCUCUCAUGCAGUCACUCAAUACACGAUUACUAAACCCUAUACCUGGCGGAUGCCCUCUCUGACAUUUAAACAGCCCAGGCCACCCAUGCUUCAUGCAGCACACUUGCCAAAAUCUGUCCAUGUAUUUCCAACAGCGCCCAUCCGUGAGUUUCCUCCAUCCAUUCCUUUGAUGAACUGACCCCUGCUCAUCCUUUGAGGUUCAGGAGUCACUGCCUUCAGGAAGCCUUACCAAUGCCCCUUCCCCUGAAACGGUGCCUUACGUGCAGCAGACCUGGAUACAACCAAAGCUUCUUGUGCAUAAAUUUAUCCAAGCACCUACCCCACUGAUUUGCAACUAUUUUGUUUACUUGCUCGUCUCACUCUCUGGAUUGUAAUUAUCCUACUGGCAGGAGUUCUGUUCUGUUGCCGGCAGAGAGUAAGCAUCUGAUAAAUAAUGCUUGGAAGAAGAAACGUAUUG